rnacentral:tRNA from 1 species
UCCGAUAUAGUGUAGGGGUCAUCACUUCCGCCUUUCACGCGGAGAACCCGGGUUUCGAUUCCCGGUAUCGGAG